GGCCGAGUUACCAGACAAAUUUGUAUAACAAGAUACCCCAAUGAUGAUUGUGGCCAAGUUUGGUUUAAUUUUGCCCAGUAGUUUCAGAGGAGAAGAUUUUUCUAAAAGAUGACUAAGAUUUACGAAAAAUGGUUAAAAAUUGACUAUAAAGGGCAAUAACUCCUAAAGGGGUCAACUGACCAUUUUAGUCAUGUUGACUUAUUUGUAAAUCUUACUUUGCUGAACAUUAUUGCUGUUUACAGUUUAUCUCUAUCUAUAAUAAUAUUCAAGAUAAUAACCAACUAGAGGCUCUAAAGAGCCUGUGUCGCUCACCUUGGUCUAUGUGAAUAUUAAACAAUGGACACAAAUGGAUUCAUGACAAAAUUGUGUUUUGGUGAUGGUGAUGUGUUUGUAGAUCUUACUUUACUAAACAUUGUUGCUGCUUACAAUUAUCUCUAUCUAUAACAGUACUUUCUGUGGAAAAUGUUAUUGAAAAUCUUCAAAUUUUAAGAAAAUUGUUAAAAAUUGACUAUGAAGGGCAAUAACUCCUUAGGGGGUCAAUUGAUUAUUUUGGUCAUACUGACUUAUUUUUAGUUCUUACUUUGCUGUACAUUAUUGCUGUUUACAGUUUAUCUCUAUCUAUAAUAAUAUUCAAGAUAAUAACAAAAAAAACAGCAAAAUUUCCUCAAAAUUACCAAUUCAGGGGCAGCAACCUAACAACCGAUUAUCCGAUUCAUCUGAAAAUUUCAGGGCAGAUAGAUCGUGACCUGAUCAACAAUUUUACUU
rnacentral:lncRNA from 1 species